rnacentral:rRNA from 1 species
UGGGGAAGUAUUGCGCAAUGGGCGAAAGCCUGACGCAGCGACGCCGCGUGAGGGAUGAAGGUCUUCGGAUCGUAAACCUCUGUCAGCAGGGAAGAACGGUCACUGUGCUAAUCAGCAGUGAAUUGACGGUACCUGCAAAGGAAGCACCGGCUAACUCCGUGCC